GCCCCCAUGAUCCCAACCUGACACUCUCUACAGCGAGCCACGCGAUAGGACGCUGCCUCUGUCAAUCAUCCGCGUGUAAACACCUUGGCUCUUCGCCAGCUCUAUAAAACCAAUUAUGGAGCAAGGAGGCUGAACUGUUUCAAGCCCCCUCUCUUUCAGUCCUUUCUUGAAUGAUCAAAACAGGCAGAGAAUUUGUGGAGGGCAGUUUCAAGGCCGCUCCUGAUUAAAACAUACGGAUACAGACUUGAUUAUUGCUGCAUCUACGCCGAUUAAUAGGUUUCUUUUAUUCGACGCACGUGGAUUUGUAUAUGUUUUAGCUUAUAUUUAGGAAUAAUAUUUUUAUUUAUUUAUUUUUUUAACUUUCGAAAUUUAAGGUUCGUGCGAGCUUCCUGUGUUUCUUGACUUUCAAUCCCACUGCGCGCAAAGACGCACUUUGGAUUUUUCUUGUGAUUUGUUAUUUUGCGCGCUGCCUCGCCGUGGGAAUGUCACCUAUCCGGCUGUUCCUGAAGGUUCACGGCUGCCUGGAUAAGUUAUUAACGACCGACGAAACGGCAAUAAAUAGCCUAUGCCUCCACUUUUGUUCACGUUAGCUACUGUGGGGUUUAAUCCAAGAAGACAACGACAUGUCUCUGUGUAUCUCUCCAUUUUUUUGGUGCUGCUGUUCAGCAGUAACUGGAGACUCCUUUGUUCUGGCUGCUGAGGCGCGCCGACUUUUUAUUUUUUUUUUUUGGUUGAUUUUAUUUAUUUUUUGCCUUUUUGGACGCUUUUUAAUUGUUCGUGCGUGACAUUCACUGACUGCUCUUGUAAAGGUGGGUGUUGAAAUGCGUUUCAUGCGAAUAAACAUCAACAUAUUCCUGUC